AUACGGAGGAUCCGAGCGUUAUCCGGAUUUAUUGGGUUUAAAGGGUGCGCAGGCGGCCAUUUAAGUCAGCGGUUAAAUCGUGGGGCUCAACCCCAUUCUGCCGUUGAUACUGGGUGGCUUGAUUGCGGUCGAGGUUGGCGGAAUUCGUUGUGUAGCGGUGAAAUGCAUAGAUAUGACGAAGAACACCGAUUGCGUUGGCAGCUGACCAGACCGCAAAUGACGCUCAUGCACGAAAGUGCGGGGAUCGAACAGGAUUAGAUACCCUGGUAGUCCGCACAGUAAACGAUGAAUACUUGUUUUCGGCGAUAUAAUGUCGGAGGCAAAGCGAAAGCGAUAAGUAUUCCACCUGGGGAGUACGCCGGCAACGGUGAAACUCAAAUGAAUUGACGGGG
rnacentral:rRNA from 1 species